rnacentral:rRNA from 1 species
ACAGCAGUAGCCACGGUAAUACAGAGGGUGCGAGCGUUAAUCGGAUUUACUGGGCGUAAAGCGUGCGUAGGCGGCUUUUUAAGUCGGAUGUGAAAUCCCUGAGCUUAACUUAGGAAUUGCAUUCGAUACUGGGAAGCUAGAGUAUGGGAGAGGAUGGUAGAAUUCCAGGUGUAGCGGUGAAAUGCGUAGAGAUCUGGAGGAAUACCGAUGGCGAAGGCAGCCAUCUGGCCUAAUACUGACGCUGAGGUACGAAAGCAUGGGGAGCAAACAGGAUUAGAUACCCGAGUAGUCCCUGUCUCUUAUAC